CGCCCGGCGGCGGCACCGGCGACACCGGGCACCGAGAGCGGACACGGCCCCGGGCAGCGCCCGGGCACGGCGGGGGCAGCGGGAAUGGCAGAGGGGAGGGAACAACAUAUUCUGCACAGGAAGAGCCCAUUCAGAAGAGACCUGCCUCAGAAAUCCCCAAACUCAAACCAAACCACCGAAAGCACUGAGAAAACAGCAAUUUAACACUUCUGUAUCUGUGCCUUGCAUCACACACAACCUGAUGUCACAUCCUGCAGCACAAACCCACCCUGUGCAGACAAAACCUCAGCUGGCUGCAGCUGCACCAGUGAGGAACAGCAGCACAGGCUUCAGGCAGCUCAUGCACAUCACCCAGGACUGUGACCUGCUCUCGUGACAUUGUCACUGGGACAACUGAGGGUGGACAGGAAGCAAAGUGAUAGUUGUUUAGGACAGGGUGGCACAUGCAAGGUGUAUUUCCACGGAACUCACUUUUU